CGUGAAGCUGGAUUCGGUAGUAAUCGCGUCUCAAAAAGGCGCGGUGAAUAUGCCCCUGCUCCUUGCACACACCGCCCGUCAAACCAUCUUAGUUGGGGGUGGGUGAGGCUGCGUCCAUUGGGCGUAUUCGAGCCUGCCUUCGACAAGGAGGGUUAAGUCGUAACAAGGUAUCUGUAGGGGAACCUGCAGAUGGAUCACCUCCU
rnacentral:ncRNA from 1 species